CUCCAAGUCAAUCACACUUCUGUGAAAUCAAACUGUCCACUUAGGAAGCAAUACUGAGUGACAAUCAAUUUCACAUGCUGUUGCGCAAAUGGGAUAGACAACAUGUGGAAAUUAUAGGCAAUUAGCAAGACACCCCCAAUAAAGGAGUGGUUCUGCAGGUGGUGACCACAGACCACUUCUCAGUUCCUAUGCUUCCUGGCUCAUGUUUUGGUCACUUUUGAAUGCUGGCGGUGCUUUUACUCCAAAUCCAGACCUCCAUGGGUUGAAAAAUUUGAUUUCCAUUUUUUUAUUUUUGUGUGAUUUUGUAAAGAACAAAGUAUUUCAGAAGAAUAUUUAAUUUAUUCAGAUCUAGGAU